GACGUAGGGCGCAAGCGUUGUUCGGAAUUACUGGGCGUAAAGGGCUCGUAGGCGGCCAACUAAGUCGGACGUGAAAUCCCUCGGCUUAACCGGGGAACUGCGUCCGAUACUGGAUGGCUUGAGUUCGGGAGAGGGAUGCGGAAUUCCAGGUGUAGCGGUGAAAUGCGUAGAUAUCUGGAGGAACACCGGUGGCGAAGGCGGCAUCCUGGACCGACACUGACGCUGAGGAGCGAAAGCCAGGGGAGCAAACGGG
rnacentral:rRNA from 1 species